GGGGAUUUAGCUCAGCAGUAUAGCACCUGCCUGGCAAGUGGGAGGUCCCAAGUUCGAUCCCUUGUACCCCCA
rnacentral:tRNA from 1 species